UGGCAUUUUGUUGAAAAUGCAGACUUCUUAGUCUGACUGCAAUCCCGGAAGGAGAUUUUGGUCUUGUCCUCACUAUGGGGCCACCAAUUGCAAGUUUUUCAAAUGGAGAGAUAAGCAAAGUGUUGAUGAAAGAUCAAAGUUUAUUAUUCCAAGAUUGGUGAACAAAAUCAAAGAGUUAGAAGAAAAUUACGAGCGUGUUAGGUUGCAUUUGGCUGAACUUGAAAGUUUUAAGAUGCAGUUUGAUAAUCUCAACAUGAAUUCACUUGAACUUGAAGAUUCAAAAGAGGAUGAAAUUCAGUUGGAUGAGCUUGAAAGUCUUACCCUUCAAUAUGAUAAUCUCAACAUCAAUUUGGUUGAGCUUGAAGAUUCAAAAGAGAUAGGUGAUUUGAAUGAGGUUGAAGUUUCAAAAGAGGAGACGAAUGAUUUGGAUGAGCUUGGAGAUUCAAAAGAGAAGAGUAAUUUGAAAGAGAAUGAUAUGAAUGAAAAAAAGAA